UACGAAGGGGGUUAGCGUUGCUCGGAAUCACUGGGCGUAAAGGGUGCGUAGGCGGGUCUUUAAGUCAGGGGGGAAAUCCUGGAGCUCAACUCCAGAACUGCCUUUGAUACUGAAGAUCUUGAGUUCGGGAGAGGUGAGUGGAACUGCGAGUGUAGAGGUGAAAUUCGUAGAUAUUCGCAAGAACACCAGUGGCGAAGGCGGCUCACUGGCCCGAUACUGACGCUGAGGCACGAAAGCGUGGGGAGCAAACAGG
rnacentral:rRNA from 1 species